rnacentral:rRNA from 1 species
GACGAACGCUGGCGGCGUGCUUAACACAUGCAAGUCGAACGGAAAGGCCCUGCUUUUGUGGGGUGCUCGAGUGGCGAACGGGUGAGUAACACGUGAGUAACCUGCCCUUGACUUUGGGAUAACUUCAGGAAACUGGGGCUAAUACCGGAUAGGAGCUCCUGCUGCUUGGUGGGGGUUGGAAAGUUUCGGCGGUUGGGGAUGGACUCGCGGCUUAUCAGCUUGUUGGUGGGGUAGUGGCUUACCAAGGCUUUGACGGGUAGCCGGCCUGAGAGGGUGACCGGCCACAUUGGGCCUGAGUUACGGCCCGGACUCCUACGGGAGCCAUCAUUGGGGAAUAUUGCACAAUGGGGCGAAGCCUGAGGCAGCAACGCCGCGUGCGGGAUGACGGCCUUCGGGUUGUAAACCGCUUUGGCAUGUGACGAGGCGUGAGUGACGGUAAUGGGUAAAGAAGCACCGGCUAACUACGUG